AUUGAACGCUGGCGGCAGGCUUAACACAUGCAAGUCGAGCGGAGAUGAGGUGCUUGCACCUUAUCUUAGCGGCGGACGGGUGAGUAAUGCUUAGGAAUCUGCCUAUUAGUGGGGGACAACAUUCCGAAAGGAAUGCUAAUACCGCAUACGUCCUACGGGAGAAAGCAGGGGAUCUUCGGACCUUGCGCUAAUAGAUGAGCCUAAGUCGGAUUAGCUAGUUGGUGGGGUAAAGGCCUACCAAGGCGACGAUCUGUAGCGGGUCUGAGAGGAUGAUCAGCCACACUGGGACUGAGACACGGCCCAGACUCCUACGGGAGGCAGCAGUGGGGAAUAUUGGACAAUGGGGGGAACCCUGAUCCAGCCAUGCCGCGUGUGUGAAGAAGGCCUUGGUUGUAAAGCACUUUAAGCGAGGAGGAGGCUACUGAGACUAAUACUCUUGGAUAGUGGACGUUACUCGCAGAAUAAGCACCGGCUAACUCUGUGCCAGCCGCCGCCGUAAUAC
rnacentral:rRNA from 1 species